GACAGAGGGUGCAAACGUUGUUCGGAAUUACUGGGCGUAAAGAGCGUGUAGGCGGCCAGAUAAGUCCGCUGUGAAAUCUCGAGGCUCAACUUCGAGCUGUCGGUGGAAACUGUCUGGCUAGAGUCCGGAAGAGGAGAAUGGAAUUCCUGGUGUAGCGGUGAAAUGCGCAGAUAUCAGGAAGAACACCCGUGGCGAAGGCGGUUCUCUGGGACGGUACUGACGCUGAGACGCGAAAGCGUGGGGAGCCGAACAGG
rnacentral:rRNA from 1 species